UUUGUAGUUUAAAGUGAUAUUUGUAAAGUAACUAAGAAAAACUAUUAGAGAAAUAAAAGAUGUGUAGGGCAACGUGGAAGAGGAGCAGUGAGGAGAUUCUGCUAUGCCUCCCAUAGAAUGCCUUUUAACCUCAAAGCUGCCAAGAUAAAUAUCUAUGGAGUCUCACUCUCUUGUCCAGGAUGGAAAGCAGUGGC